AUUGAACGCUGGCGGCAGGCCUAACACAUGCAAGUCGAACGAGUGGCGGACGGGUGAGUAAUGUCUGGGAAACUGCCUGAUGGAGGGGGCUAACUACUGGAAACGGUAGCUAAUACCGCAUACCAUCAGAUGUGCCCAGAUGGGAUUAGCUUGUAGGUGGGGUAAAGGCUCACCAAGGCGACGAUCCCUAGCUGGUCUGAGAGGAUGAUCGGCCACACUGGAACUGAGACACUGUCCAGACUCCUACGGGAGGCAGCAGUGGGGAAUAUUGAGCAAUGGGCGCAAGCCUGAUGCAGCCAUGCCGCGUGUAUGAAGAAGGCCUUCGGGUUGUAAAGUACUUUCAGCGGAGAGGCGUUACCCGCAGAAGAAGCACCGGCUAACUCCGUGCCAGCAGCCGCGGUAAUUC
rnacentral:rRNA from 1 species